ACGGGUGAGUAAUGUCUGGGAAACUGCCCGAUGGAGGGGGAUAACUACUGGAAACGGUAGCUAAUACCGCAUAACGUCGCAAGACCAAAGUGGGGGACCUUCGGGCCUCACGCCAUCGGAUGUGCCCAGAUGGGAUUAGCUAGUAGGUGGGGUAAUGGCUCACCUAGGCGACGAUCCCUAGCUGGUCUGAGAGGAUGACCAGCCACACUGGAACUGAGACACGGUCCAGACUCCUACGGGAGGCAGCAGUGGGGAAUAUUGCACAAUGGGCGCAAGCCUGAUGCAGCCAUGCCGCGUGUAUGAAGAAGGCCUUCGGGUUGUAAAGUACUUUCAGCGGGGAGGAAGGCGGUGAAGUUAAUAGCUUCACCGAUUGACGUUACCCGCAGAAGAAGCACCGGCUAACUCCGUGCCAGCAGCCGCGGUAAUACGGAGGGUGCAAGCGUUAAUCGGAAUUACUGGGCGUAAAGCGCACGCAGGCGGUCUGUCAAGUCGGAUGUGAAAUCCCCGGGCUUAACCUGGGAACUGCAUUCGAAACUGGCAGGCUGGAGUCUUGUAGAGGGGGGUAGAAUUCCAGGUGUAGC
rnacentral:rRNA from 1 species